ACUGUGUACUGUUAACCAAUUUUUCAUGAAUCUUUUAAAUGAUCCUUCCUGUCAAAAGGGUAUGGCUUACUUAAUUAUCUGGUUAAAUGUUUCAGAUACCCUCAUGGAUAAACUUGCUACCUCUUCAAAUUCGAAGAAGACAGAAAAUGAGGAGGAGAAAAAUCCAUUCAAAUUACCUCCUCAACUACCUAAGAAUGAAGUUGACUGGAAAUUAUAUAACCAACUGCCCUUUGACUCCUUGACAGCUUUACGGGAAUGUGAGCAAGAACUGAACAAUGUCCUGGCCCGUCAGAAUUUGUAUAGUGCACUGUCUCACACAGUGUCUAAAGGCGCUCAUGUAACGCAUACAGCUAGAAGCAUCAUGGCAAAAAUACUGCAUUCAUCAUUAACAGGACGUUUCACAUGGACGGGUGUAAAUCGACAGAACAAGAAAGAUGAGCGUGAAAAGAACAUUACAAAAAGAAAGCAUGCCUUCCGAAUUUUGCAUUUGAAGGAUAUUCUCCUCGAUGCUGCAACGCUCAUUCACCAGUGUCAUGUGUCGGAGGAUGACAUAAAGCGUUCAGUGAACCAGUGGUUUUCCCAGGAAGCACUGAAGUUCGAAAACAAAACGUAAGUCACGCUAAAUCUUUACUGCCUCGAGCAAAAAUUUGCUGACAAAUGUUUUUCCGAGCCAGCAACAUUGAAUCUGUCUUAGGGUGCCGUUUGAUUUCAUAAUUUAUAUGAACUGCUUGUUCAGGACAGAGUUAGUUUUAAGAUUUCUUGUACCGCGCGUGAUACUAAUUUGGACACUCAAUGGGAAAAGUCUGGGAGAAGAACCUCAUCUGGAAAGGUGCUUGGAGGGAGUCUCAUUUUUCAUGAGGCCCAUUAUUUUUUGGGUACAGUUUGUCUAGUUUCUCUCAUGCAUGAGGCUACCUUUUCUGUUUUUCAGAAACUGAUUUUUUCUUCAAAUGUUCAAUUCCCCGAGUGGUUGAGGUCCCCCCCCCCCCCUCUAUCUCACCUGUCUUUUUUUUGUGCCAGCAUGUGAUCACAGUCAUCUCUUUUGAUUCCCAGGUCCAAGCCCAAGAAUGUGCCAAUUGUGCCCCUCCAGGAAAGCACAUCAAAUAGUAGCUCUGCAGAAAGCUCAUCGAGCAGUUCAUCAAACAGCUCGAGCGAACCUGAUGAUCGCUGAUUUCAUAUUAUCGGUUUUUACUUUUCACAUCUGUUUUCUCUGCCAUGUUGGCUUUUCACUUCCUAUUUCCGGACUCUUCCCACUUCCGAUUUUCACCUUCAUGUCCUAAGUUUUAUUACCCAUUUCUGGUUUUGACCUUUAAAUUCCAAUUUUUACUUCCCACUUCUAGUUUUUAGUUCCUAUUUCUGAUUUAAGUCCUUAACGUGUACUGUAUAGUGGUCCAAAAACACGAUUAUUCGUAUUUCUACCGUAUUUUGUGGCUACUAAAAUUAUUUCGCAAAAAUCGUUUAGGGACUCAAAAAGUACCCUAUCCUUGAUAAUUUAAGUUUAAUGUUUGUAUUGUAAAGUGGAAGGAGGUUGGGAAGUUUUUUCACUCUCCUAAAAAAUCGUAUUUUUGGAAAUAAGUGGUUUUGAUCUGCCACCUGCGAUACGUUUAUAUAUAGGCGAAUCAAAAAGCGAAUAGUCAGUGUUUUGCUCAAAAUACGUGCGAUUCAUCAGGAUUGUUCUCUUGAAGUGUCGCACUUAAGUGUCAAAAUUAGCUUUAAUUCGUUAGUCAGUGUACCUAGUAACUUUUGCAGUUUUCGUCAAAAAUUUCUUGUCUAAUCUCAAGUUUCACUUAUUGUUUAUAAUGUUCGUUCUUUUCACUAUUAUUAAAUUCUAAUUUUGUGUUAAAAUAUCAUUUAGUAUCCUUUUUUUAUCCUGCAAAAUACUGUGGAUCCAGAACUAUUUUACCACACUUGCUAAUAUCAUUUAUUAAGAGUACAUAAAGCUUUCAUGACUCAAGAGGU
rnacentral:lncRNA from 1 species